CAGAUGGGAGCUUGCUCCCUGAUGUUAGCGGCGGACGGGUGAGUAACACGUGGGUAACCUGCCUGUAAGACUGGGAUAACUCCGGGAAACCGGGGCUAAUACCGGAUGGUUGUCUGAACCGCAUGGUUCAGACAUAAAAGGUGGCUUCGGCUACCACUUACAGAUGGACCCGCGGCGCAUUAGCUAGUUGGUGAGGUAACGGCUCACCAAGGCGACGAUGCGUAGCCGACCUGAGAGGGUGAUCGGCCACACUGGGACUGAGACACGGCCCAGACUCCUACGGGAGGCAGCAGUAGGGAAUCUUCCGCAAUGGACGAAAGUCUGACGGAGCAACGCCGCGUGAGUGAUGAAGGUUUUCGGAUCGUAAAGCUCUGUUGUUAGGGAAGAACAAGUGCCGUUCAAAUAGGGCGGCACCUUGACGGUACCUAACCAGAAAGCCACGGCUAACUACGUGCCAGCAGCCGCGGUAAUACGUAGGUGGCAAGCGUUGUCCGGAAUUAUUGGGCGUAAAGGGCUCGCAGGCGGUUUCUUAAGUCUGAUGUGAAAGCCCCCGGCUCAACCGGGGAGGGUCAUUGGAAACUGGGGAACUUGAGUGCAGAAGAGGAGAGUGGAAUUCCACGUGUAGCGGUGAAAUGCGUAGAGAUGUGGAGGAACACCAGUGGCGAAGGCGACUCUCUGGUCUGUAACUGACGCUGAGGAGCGAAAGCGUGGGGAGCGAACAGGAUUAGAUACCCUGGUAGUCCACGCCGUAAACGAUGAGUGCUAAGUGUUAGGGGGUUUCCGCCCCUUAGUGCUGCAGCUAACGCAUUAAGCACUCCGCCUGGGGAGUACGGUCGCAAGACUGAAACUCAAAGGAAUUGACGGGGGCCCGCACAAGCGGUGGAGCAUGUGGUUUAAUUCGAAGCAACGCGAAGAACCUUACCAGGUCUUGACAUCCUCUGACAAUCCUAGAGAUAGGACGUCCCCUUCGGGGGCAAAGUGACAGGUGGUGCAUGGUUGUCGUCAGCUCGUGUCCUGAGAUGUUGGGUUAAGUCCCGCAACGAGCGCAACCCUUGAUCUUAGUUGCCAGCAUUCAUUUGGGCCUUCUAAGGUGACUGCCGGUGACAAACCGAAGAAAGGUGGGGAUAACCUCAAAUCAUCAGGCCCCUUAUGACCUGGGCUACACCGUGGCUACAUGGGACAGAACAAAGGUCACCGAAUCC
rnacentral:rRNA from 2 species